GUUAGGAUUUGGUUAGGAUUUGUUUAGGAUUUGUUUAGAGUUUAUUUAAGAUCUGGUUAGGAUUUUUUUAGGAUUUGAUUAGGAUUUUUUUAAGAUUUCAUUAAGAUUUGGUUAAGAUUUGUUUAAGAUUUUGUUAAGAUUUAUUUAGGAUUUAAUUGGGAUUUAUUUAGGAUUUUUUUAGGAUUUAUUUAAGAUUUGAUUAGGAUUUGAUUAAGAUUUUUGUAGGAUUUGACUAGGAUUUGAUUAAGAUUUUUUUAGGAUUUGAUUAGGAUUUGGUUAAGAUUUGUUAGGAUUUGACUAAGGUUUAUUUAGGAUUUGAUUAAGGUUUGACUAGGAUUUGACUAAAAUUUGAUUAAAUUUUGAUUAAGAUUUAAUUAAGGUUUUUAUUUUAAUAUUUUAUGAAGUUUUUUAUUUUAGUAUAUUUUUGAAUUUCUAUAUUAUUUCUUUAUGACUCUUUAAAGGUUCUCAAGGAAUACUUUGUGUUUCUUAUAUAAUUCCUUUGAAAUUUUGAUUGAAUUUGAUUGAUGUUUGAUUAUACUUGCUAAUCUUUAAUUAUAAUUUGUUUAAGAAUCUA
rnacentral:lncRNA from 1 species